GAAGGUUGCUCACAUUGUGUCAGUUCACAGUUCCCACCUCAGCGUAUAUUUUGUGAUUGUAUAUUUUGGGACUCUUUCCUGACCGUGUCUUUGCUCUCCUUGCAGUUACGUCUGCUUCGUGUUAGAUUCCUUGAGACCGUGGUUUCCUAUCUCUGCCGUAACAUACAGUACUCUUCUGAUUUGUUUGUCUUUCAACUACAACAUACUAGAAACUAUAAUAGGAAAAAAGGCCAAAAUCAAGUGAGGAACAAAGAGCAAUGGCAGCAACAUGUUUUUUUUUUUUUUUUGGCAUGUGACCUUUCAUGUCUCUAGCAUAAAAAAGAAAAUUAAACUGUAAAAAGAUAAUGGAACAAAAACUUGCCCUUGGAGAGAAGCACAAUCCCAAACAUCAGCGUCAGGAGAUGCAUUUUGUGAUUGCGGGAUCCAAGGGCAUAACACAGGCACCGAGGCAACGCGCAGGGCAGAUAUACUGAACAUCUUCAUUGCUUCUGGCUUUGGUUGCGCCUUGAAAGAUCAGCAGCAACGAGAAUAUAUGAGAGAGCCAUAUGGAAAUGACACGUUCCAUGAUCAGGCUGCUGACAUCCCUUUCAUAUUCAGCGCCCUGACCGGCUCGUGUGUGGUGAUUCCUUGCAGCGUCCCGUAGCAGGAAGAUGAGCUUUUCACGCAUGGCAUCUG